UAGGGAAUCUUCGGCAAUGGGGGCAACCCUGACCGAGCAACGCCGCGUGAGUGAAGAAGGUUUUCGGAUCGUAAAGCUCUGUUGUAAGAGAAGAACGUGUGUGAGAGUGGAAAGUUCACACAGUGACGGUAACUUACCAGAAAGGGACGGCUAACUACGUGCCAGCAGCCGCGGUAAUACGUAGGCCCCGAGCGUUGUCCGGAUUUAUUGGGCGUAAAGCGAGCGCAGGCGGUUUAAUAAGUCUGAAGUUAAAGGCAGUGGCUUAACCAUUGUUCGCUUUGGAAACUGUUAAACUUGAGUGCAGAAGGGGAGAGUGGAAUUCCAUGUGUAGCGGUGAAAUGCGUAGAUAUAUGGAGGAACACCGGUGGCGAAAGCGGCUCUCUGGUCUGUAACUGACGCUGAGGCUCGAAAGCGUGGGGAGCAAACAGGAUUAGAUACCCUGGUAGUCCACGCCGUAAACGAUGAGUGCUAGGUGUUAGGCCCUUUCCGGGGCUUAGUGCCGCAGCUAACGCAUUAAGCACUCCGCCUGGGGAGUACGACCGCAAGGUUG
rnacentral:rRNA from 1 species